rnacentral:piRNA from 1 species
UGAGCAAAUCUUCCAAUGGCUGGUGUC